AACAAACGCUGGCGGCGUGCCUAAUACAUGCAAGUCGAACGAGGUAGCAAUACCUAGUGGCGCACGGGAGAGUAAUACAUGGAUAAUCUGCCUUAGAGUGGGGGAUAACUUUCCGAAAGGAGAGCUAAUACCGCAUAAGACCACAAGCUCUGCGGAGCAAGGGGUUAAAGGUUUUUCGCUCUAAGAUGAGUCCAUGCUCGAUUAGUUAGUUGGUAGGGUAAUGGCCUGCCAAGGCUUCGAUCGAUAGCUGAUCUGAGAGGAUGAUCAGCCUCACUGGAACUGAGACACGGUCCAGACUCCUACGGGAGGCAGCAGUAGGGAAUAUUGCACAAUGGAGGAAACUCUGAUGCAGCGACGCCGCGUGAGCGAUGAAGGCCUUCGGGUUGUAAAGCUCUGUUGUACGGGAAGAACACAAUGACGGUACCGUAUAAGAAAGGACCGGCUAACUUCGUGCCAGCCGCCGCCGUAACAC
rnacentral:rRNA from 1 species